AAUAUUUCGCAAUGGAGGGAACUCUGACGCAGCGACGCCGCGUGAGCGAUGAGGGUCNNNGGAUCNUCAAGCUCUGUCCUUGGNGACNAAGGUCUUCGGACUUGACGGUACGUGAGGAGGAAGCCCCGGCUUACCACGCGCCAGCAGCCGCGGUAAUACGUAGGGGGCAAGCGUUGUCCGGAAUUGUUGGGCGUAAAGGGUGCGUAGGCGGGCUUUUAAGUCAGAUGUGAAAGCGCACGGCUUAACCGUAGGACUGCAUUUGAAACUGGAGGGCUUGAGUAUCGGAGAGGGUAGUGGAAUUCCCAGUGUAGCGGUGGAAUGCGUAGAUAUUGGGAGGAACACCAGUGGCGAAGGCGACUACCUGGACGAAAACUGACGCUGAGGCACGAAAGCUAGGGGAGCAAAC
rnacentral:rRNA from 1 species